rnacentral:rRNA from 1 species
UACGGAGGGAGCUAGCGUUAUUCGGAAUUACUGGGCGUAAAGCGCACGUAGGCGGCUUUGUAAGUUAGAGGUGAAAGCCCGGAGCUCAACUCCAGAAUUGCCUUUAAGACUGCAUCGCUUGAAUCCAGGAGAGGUGAGUGGAAUUCCGAGUGUAGAGGUGAAAUUCGUAGAUAUUCGGAAGAACACCAGUGGCGAAGGCGGCUCACUGGACUGGUAUUGACGCUGAGGUGCGAAAGCGUGGGGAGCAAACAGG